AGAGUUUGAUCAUGGCUCAGGAUGAGCGCUAGCUACAGGCUUAACACAUGCAAGUCGAGGGGAAACGACAUCGAAAGCUUGCUUUUGAUGGGCGUCGACCGGCGCACGGGUGAGUAACGCGUAUCCAACCUGCCCAUCACUUGGAGAUAACCUUGCGAAAGUAAGACUAAUACCCAAUGACGUCUCUAGAAGACAUCUGAAAGAGAUUAAAGAUUUAUCGGUGAUGGAUGGGGAUGCGUCUGAUUAGCUUGUUGGCGGGGUAACGGCCACCAAGGCGACGAUCAGUAGGGGUUCUGAGAGGAAGGUCCCCANAUUGGAACUGAGACACGGUCCAAACUCAUACGGGAGGCA
rnacentral:rRNA from 1 species